GCCGGGGGGGGAGGGGCGGCUCCUCAGCCCCCAGGACCCCGCCCUGGCCCAGGCGCGCCGCGUGCGCUCCCUGCUGUCGGCGCUCUCUCUGCGCGCGGCCGAGCUGGAGCGGCUGCAGGAGAGAGCCCUGGGAACGCCCCUCCCCCCCCCAGAGCUGCAGGAGGAGCUGCAGCGGCUCCGGGACGAGAUCCAGGACCUGACCCGGGAGAUCCAGGGGGGGCUCCGAG